rnacentral:lncRNA from 1 species
ACCAACCUUGCUGGCGCAAGAUCAGUCUGAUCACGAAGAUCGAUUCCUGUCCGCAAUCGAAGAACGAACAAGAAAGGGAGGCGAGCAAUCUAAAUAUCACUCGAAGGUAGAGUUCUGAAUCACACAAGGACAACGCGUAUUUGCGCGUGUUCGAGAGUAGCUAAAGCUAGAUGUAAAACAAAACUCGAGUUGUAAACAAAAAGGACUCCGACUAAAUAAAGGGGGCGCAGCCCCUGGAGUCCGGAGGGGUAACGCGCGCCCAACCCUAGGCGCCCCACCUGGGCUGCCCUGUUGGGCCAUCUUCUUAUUCCGAUGGGCCUUCGUUCCUUA